UACCAGCACCCCGAGUGGUCGGGACGUUUUAUUGGGCCUAAAGCAUCCGUAGCCGGUUCUACAAGUCUUCCGUUAAAUCCACCUGCUUAACAGAUGGGCUGCGGAAGAUACUAUGGAGCUAGGAGGCGGGAGAGGCAAGCGGUACUCGAUGGGUAGGGGUAAAAUCCGUUGAUCCAUUGAAGACCACCAGUGGCGAAGGCGGCUUGCCAGAACGCGCUCGACGGUGAGGGAUGAAAGCUGGGGGGAGCAAACCGG
rnacentral:rRNA from 1 species